AACCAUGCACCGAAGCUGCGGCAGCGACGCUGAUGCGUUGUUGGGUAGGGGAGCGUUCUGUAAGCCUGUGAAGGUGUGCUGUGAGGCAUGCUGGAGGUAUCAGAAGUGCGAAUGCUGACAUAAGUAACGAUAAAGCGGGUGAAAAGCCCGCUCGCCGGAAGACCAAGGGUUCCUGUCCAACGUUAAUCGGGGCAGGGUGAGUCGACCCCUAAGGCGAGGCCGAAAGGCGUAGUCGAUGGGAAACAGGUUAAUAUUCCUGUACUUGGUGUUACUGCGAAGGGGGGACGGAGAAGGCUAUGUUGGCCGGGCGACGGUUGUCCCGGUUUAAGCGUGUAGGCUGGUUUUCCAGGCAAAUCCGGAAAAUCAAGGCUGAGGCGUGAUGACGAGGCACUACGGUGCUGAAGCAACAAAUGCCCUGCUUCCAGGAAAAGCCUCUAAGCAUCAGGUAACAUCAAAUCGUACCCCAAACCGACACAGGUGGUCAGGUAGAGAAUACCAAGGCGCUUGAGAGAACUCGGGUGAAGGAACUAGGCAAAAUGGUGCCGUAACUUCGGGAGAAGGCACGCUGAUAUGUAGGUGAAGUCCCUCGCGGAUGGAGCUGAAAUCAGUCGAAGAUACCAGCUGGCUGCAACUGUUUAUUAAAAACACAGCACUGUGCAAACACGAAAGUGGACGUAUACGGUGUGACGCCUGCCCGGUGC
rnacentral:rRNA from 1 species